UACGGGGGGGGCAAGCGUUGUUCGGAAUUACUGGGCGUAAAGCGUGCGCAGGCGGUUUUGUAAGCCAGAUGUGAAAGCCCCGGGCUUAACCUGGGAAUGGCCAUGGAAACUGGCGAGCUGGAGUGUGGCAGAGGGGGGUGGAAUUCCGCGUGUAGCAGUGAAAUGCGUAGAGAUGCGGAGGAACACCGAUGGCGAAGGCAGCCCCCUGGGCUAACACUGACGCUGAGGCACGAAAGCGUGGGGAGCAAACAGG
rnacentral:rRNA from 1 species